rnacentral:rRNA from 1 species
AGAGUUUGAUCCUGGCUCAGAACGAACGCUGGCGGCAGGCUUAACACAUGCAAGUCGAGCGCCCCGCAAGGGGAGCGGCAGACGGGUGAGUAACGCGUGGGAAUCUACCCAUCUCUACGGAAUAACGCAUGGAAACGUGUGCUAAUACCGUAUACGUCCUUCGGGAGAAAGAUUUAUCGGAGAUGGAUGAGCCCGCGUUGGAUUAGCUAGUUGGUGGGGUAAAGGCCUACCAAGGCGACGAUCCAUAGCUGGUCUGAGAGGAUGAUCAGCCACACUGGGACUGAGACACGGCCCAGACUCCUACGGGAGGCAGCAGUGGGGAAUAUUGGACAAUGGGCGCAAGCCUGAUCCAGCCAUGCC